rnacentral:rRNA from 1 species
GACGAACGCUGGCGGCAUGCCUAAUACAUGCAAGUCGAGCGAACAGAUGAAGUGCUUGCACUUCUGACGUUAGCGGCGAACGGGUGAGUAACACGUAAGGAAUCUACCUAUAAGCGGGGGAUAACAUUCGGAAACGGGUGCUAAUACCGCAUAAUAUCUUCUUCCGCAUGGAAGAAGAUUGAAAGACGGCUCUGCUGUCACUUAUAGAUGACCUUGCGGUGCAUUAGUUAGUUGGUGGGGUAACGGCCUACCAAGACGAUGAUGCAUAGCCGACCUGAGAGGGUGAUCGGCCAAAUUGGGACUGAGAUACGGCCCAAACUCCUACGGGAGGCAGCAGUAGGGAAUCUUCCGCAAUGGGCGAAAGCCUGACGGAGCAAUGCCGCGUGAGUGAAGAAGGCCUUCGGGUCGUAAAACUCUGUUAUAAGAGAAGAACAAAUUGUAGAGUAACUGCUACAGUCUUGACGGUAUCUUAUCAGAAAGCCACGGCUAACUACGUGCCAGCCGCCGCGGUAA